CUAUGAAAGGAAAGGAGGAGAAACACAUUUGAAUGGAAGGAAAAUACGAAGCAGGCUCACCAGAACCACCUUGCUGGGCAGUGUCCAGUGUCUAGAUGGUGACUCUGCUCAAUCUAGAUCUGUGUGGUGUGAGAUGGGUGUGAGCUCAGGCAAAGUGACAAUCUGCUUCUGGGAAGAACCAGGUGUAGCUGACCCUGAUGAUGAUGAUGACGACAAAGACCUGUAGAUGGUCAGCCCUGUGCCUGGGCUACCCACCUUUCUGUCUUCUGCACCAAUGUACCCAGAGAAUUGGCUUAUGAGAUGGUGAAGACUGGGGAAUGUCCUCAUCUGCCAUUCGGUAAACUGGAGACUCAGGAAAGUCAGCGGUAUGAGUUGAUCUGAUGGAAGCUUGAGAAGAUGAACUCCAACUCAUCAUAAAACCAAAUGGACACACCACAGGUUGAGGAACCAUUCACUUUAGGAUGUCUAUACUGCUUCUGCUUGUAGGCUACUAUGAAUAAUGCCACUGAACAUUAUUUUUAUGUUUUUAUGGGAACAUAGAUUUACAUUUCUCUGGAGUAAGUGCUGGAGUUAGAAGCACUGGGUUGCACUGUAACUCUGUGCUUGCUUUGUUUGUUUCCUUAUUUUUUCAUUAGAAAACAAGACUGUUGACAAGUUGCCAGCAUGGAUUCAUCAGUUUAUAUUCUCCCAGUGCUGUUGUGAGCCUUGAACAGUCUCUACACCCUUGUUGGCACUUGGUAUCCUUGAAGUGGAAACUUCUAGUUUCUUUGGAAAUUUAGUUAUGUCAAAGAUGUUUUUUUUGGGGGGAACACAAAGGUGAAAGGAUAUCUAUCUAUCUAUCUAUCUAUCUAUCUAUCUAUCUAUCCAUCCAUCCACUCAUCUAUAAUCUAUCUAUCUAUCUAUCUAUCAAUCAAUCUAUCAUUUAUCUAUUAUCUAUCUAUCUAUCUAUCUAUCUAUCUAUCUAUCUAUCUAUCUAUCUACCUACCUACCUAUCUAUCUAUCAAUUAUCUAUCUAUCUAUCAUCUAUCUAUCUAUCUAUCUAUCUAUCUAUCUAUCUAUCUAUCUAUCUCAGCAUUAUGUUCUGCAGGGUAACUGAGUGCACUAACAAUAACCUGUAAUUUGGGGUCUAUGGGAUCUGAUUAGCUAACAACUAAAAAGGAUAACCCAUUCCUGGUUCUAGGGUUUUGUUGAAGAUGACACGUACUUGCAUAACAUAAAAAAUCAAGCUGGUCUUACAUGGAAUCUUAUUUCUACUGACUAGCUUUCACAGUGUUAGGAGAUGCUCUACAGGCUACCAUAAGGAAAAGGUCUCACCCAGCUAUGAAGCCUGUGAGCAACAACAGGGAUUGACUUGAUAAGACAUGCCCAGUGGUGCAAUAUUGCUAUAAACAUUAUGUGAACAACUAACUACUUUCUGGUUGGGCCUAAAGCUUACUCCAUGAGAUAGAAGCCAUCCAUACUGCUAACAGGGACAAAAAAAAAAAAAGCAACACUAUUCUCCAGGUAAGUGGAAAUAGCACUAAAAUGACUCCUAAUGACUUAUUGCUACACCCAUAAAUGACAGCAUCCCUAAACCAUUCUUAAAGUAUGUUCUUUGGAGUGAAUGGCAAUUCACACAGAGAUCCUCAACUGUCCAGAGUGUGGAGAAUAAGAGGCUGUGAAGUGCUUAGCUCUAAAUGGAUGUACAUAUCACACCUCUCUGUAUGUGUGGAAGAGAGGUGAAAGGUUGUAAGAGCCAGAAGUGGUGGAUAACGUCAAGGAAACAGUGUUUUCUGGGUAGGCUACGCACAUGCGCAUAUCAUCUUACAAUGCAAUUGUGAUGUCAUGCACACAUGAAAGCUCAAGCCAGACAAGAAUCUCGAUAUGGAGUUGAGGGUGGGUUGGUUAGGAGAUUGUAUCACCAACCAAAGAGCAAUUAGCAUUUCAUAACUGUUCAGAGAGAGUGAAUCAGUUUUCUUUAGUGAUGUGAUCCUGGUGGAUACUGCAUACUUUAGGGCUGGCUUCAUUCCCAAGAAUGGUUGGGCAGCACAAAUUGGACUUGGUGAAUUUUUAAAAAUGGAGAAAAGUCUAAGUUUGGGGGUAGGGAGAUGGGGUUGAUAGGGAGGAAUUGGGGCAUGAAUAUGAUAAAAAUUUGUUGUAUGAAAUUCUCAAAAAUUAAUAAAAUGUUAUUUAAAAUGUGAUUUAUGUUAAGACAAAAAUGAGAAAAUAUUAUAUCAGUUACAACAACCUUUCUUACUCUUUUUACUUUGGGGUUUUCUUAGCCGUUCUAGUUUGUACUUUUGAUAAGUCUUUUGGAAUAAGCUUGCUGAUCCUUCAAGAAAAUUCCUGCUUGACUUUUGAUAGGAAUUGCUUUAAUCCUGUAAAGUGACUGGAGGAGGAUUGAAAUCUUUGCUAUGCGGAGUCUUCAAACCUAUAAACAUGGUACUUCUUUUUAGUUUGGUCUUCACUGAUUUCUUUCACCAGAAUUUACAGUUUUCUGUAUUCGGGUAGUGUGUAAGCUUUGCAAACAUAGAUGUAAGCAUCUCAUUUCCUUUCCUUGCAUUGACUGUAAAUGUGAUUUAAUUUUGAUUUCUGUAUGUUUUACGGUUAAUAUAUAGAAAUGCCCUAGCAUUUAAAAGCACAAGAUUCAAUGUCCAGCAUGCAAAAAAUUGAGCAUAGUGACAUAUACCUUUAAUUAUGACACGAAGAAGGUAGAGGCAGGAGGAACUGAACUUCAGGUUACCCUGGACUAGAUUAGAAUGCACCUAUCUAUCAUCUAU